rnacentral:snRNA from 1 species
AUCUCUUGCUCUCCUGCAUUCAAUCGAGAAAAUCUUUCGCCUUUUACUAAAGAUUUCCGUGUUGGAGAACAAAUUAUGAGUUUCAGUCAAUUUUUGCUUCUCUCACUUUCCUGAGAGA